GAAGACAAGCAGAAGCACCCGCUUCUCACCUGAUCGACGCAAAUUUGCAGUCGGCUGGUUUUAAACUUUUCAAUUAACGAUUGGAGACGUGUGGGUGCAGUAUGUACCGACACUUUUUUAUUUGC
rfam:Lentibacillus amyloliquefaciens strain LAM0015, complete genome.